rnacentral:rRNA from 1 species
AGAGUUUGAUCCUGGCUCAGGAUCAACGCUGGCUGCGUGCCCAAUGCAUGCAAGUCGAACGGAGAGAUCUUCGGAUCUCCGCCGUGGCGGACGGGUGAGGAACACGUGGGCAAGGUGCCCUGAGGUGGGGGGUAGCCCUCGGAAACGAGGGGUAAUUCCGCAUGAGCUUCCUGGCUGAUAGGGUUGGGAAGGAAAGGCCCGAGAGGGUCGCCUGAGGAGCCGCCUGCGGCCGAUUAGCUAGUUGGUGGGGUAGCGGCUUACCAAGGCGGUGAUCGGUAGCUGGUCUGAGAGGACGGCCAGCCACACGGGGACUGAGACACGGCCCCGACUCCUACGGGAGGCAGCAGCAAGGAAUUUUCCGCAAUGGGCGAAAGCCUGACGGAGCAACGCCGCGUGGGGGAGGACGCUUUUCGGAGCGUAAACCUCUUUUCUUGGGGACGACGACCGACGGUACCCGAGGAAGAAGGACCGGCUAACUACGUGCCAGCAGCCGCGGUAAUACGUAGGGUCCGAGCGUUGUCCGGAGUUACUGGGCGUAAAGCGCGCGCAGGCGGCUUCAUAAGUCUGGCGUAAAAGCCCCCGGCUCAACCGGGGAGGGUCGUCGGAGACUGUGGAGCUUGAGGGCGGUAGGGGCUGGUGGAAUUCCCGGUGUAGUGGUGAAAUGCGUAGAGAUCGGGAGGAACACCUGUGGCGAAGGCGGCCAGCUGGGCCGACCCUGACGCUGAGGCGCGAAGGCGUGGGGAGCGAACGGGAUUAGAUACCCCGGUAGUCCACGCAGUAAACGAUGCAGACUAGGCGUGGGGGGACUUGACCCCCUCCGUGCCGGAGCCAACGCGGUAAGUCUGCCGCCUGGGGAGUACGGCCGCAAGGCUAAAACUCAAAGGAAUUGACGGGGGCCCGCACAAGCGGCGGAGCGUGCGGUUUAAUUCGACCAACGCGCAGAACCUUACCAGGGCUUGACAUGCUCCUGCAGAACCGGGAAACCGGGAGGCCUUCGAGGGUGGAGCACAGGUGCUGCAUGGCUGUCGUCAGCUCGUGUCGUGAGAUGUUGGGUUAAGUCCCGCAACGAGCGCAACCCCCGUGGUCAGUUGCGGAUGUUUCUGACCAGACUGCCGGCAGCAAACCGGAGGAAGGUGGGGAUGACAUCAAGUCAGCAUGGCCCUUACGUCCUGGGCUACACGCACGCUACAAUGGCCGGGACAACGGGUUGCCAAACCGCAAGGUGGAGCCAAUCCCCCAAACCCGGUCUCAGUUGGAAUUGUGGGCUGCAACCCGCCCACAUGAACGUGGAGUCGCUAGUAACCGUGGGUCAGCACUACCGCGGUGAAUACGUUCCCGGGCCUUGUACACACCGCCCGUCACGUCAUGAAAGCCGGCAACACCUGAAGCCGGUGGGCCAACCCUUUUGGGAGGCAGCCGUCGAGGGUGGGGUGGGUGAUUGGGACGAAGUCGUAACAAGGUA